rnacentral:rRNA from 1 species
GGGCCCGCACAAGCGGUGGAGCAUGUGGCUUAAUUCGAAGCAACGCGAAGAACCUUAUCCUGGGUUUGACAUGCAUGGAUUAGCUUCCUGAAAGGGAAGUGACGCGGCUUGCCGUGGAACAUGCACAGGUGCUGCAUGGCUGUCGUCAGCUCGUGCUGUGAAGUGUCGGGUUAAGUCCCUUAACGAGCGCAACCCCUAUCACUAGUUGCUAGCGAGUAAUGUCGAGGACUCUAGUGAGACUGCCGGUGUCAAACCGGAGGAAGGUGGGGAUGACGUCAAGUCCGAUGGCCUUUAUGCCCAGGGCUGCACACGUGCUACAAUGGUUGGUACAGAGGGUUGCAACCCCGCGAGGGG